CAGGCUCCAUUGUACUGCAGGCUGUUUGCAGUGCUGCCUCAGAACAACGUGCAAUAAACACAGAAUCCAUGGGAAAGAGGGACAGAAACAGGAACACUUCAGCAGUGAAGUGCCAUACUCUGCUGAGCAAACUUGGCAUCUCAUCAAGCUGACUUAUUUGCCACUGAGGACUCCCAGAAUUCACCCUCUGUGAACCAAUACCUCAAAUGUCUCAGCUCACAGACUCCCUACGUAUUCCUAAGGUGUGCUCUGCAUGAUGAAAUGACCAGGAGAACUCUCAGGACUGAUCUCUGUGAAAGGAUAGAGCUAAAUCCCUAAGAAGUGUCAAGCCCAGCCCAGGAUUUGGAGCAGGAUGCCAGAAGACUAGGACAGAGGAAAUAUGGACAGAGGAAUGUCUUCAUGUGGCUUAAUGCCUACAUAAAUCCUUCCUCUCUUUGGCAUGUGACUUCACUGCUGAUGUCCCACCCAUCUCAGGACAUCACCUUGGGAGUUAUUGAGGAGUCUUGACUACAAUUUAAGACUGUGUUCUCAUCUGAAGAUGAAGAAAUACUGCCCUGUCCCUGGACAGCUGCCACGUGAUUUUGUUUUGAAGCUGAAUGACAUAUUUGGGGGGGAAAAUGGAAAAUUAUUUUGGUAUUGCUGGAAUUUGGGUGGGUCAAGAGCCACAGAAGGGCUCUUGGAGCAACCAAACCCCAGUGUGCAGGGUGAGAGAGCAGCUGGGGAUUCUGAUCUCAGCCCUGGUGAUGCCCCCAGCUCUGACAGUCCCCCAGAGCCACCGAGACAUCCUCCAGGACAGCACUGGGCAGGCACCCUGUGCCUCAGUUGCUGCAGUCUCCAUGCCACCCUCAGCUUGGCUGAGGCACAAUGUCCCUGACCUGCACCGUCCCACCACCUGCUGUCACAGUCCUGAGUCAUACCUAAAAAAAAUCGCCUACUCACACCGUUUUUUAGAGAAAACAACAAGGAAAAUGAAAUCCGCCCAAACCUUUCCUCUCCAGUGUGGAUAUAUUCCAUCCCGCCUUCCCACAGAGACCCACACCAAAGAUUGCACAGCACGUUACACAACACAGCACAGAAAUGCUCCUUCAGCAGCCCCUCCUUCCCUCUUCUCUCAGAAGCUGGGCUACUUCUCCCCAGUUCCUCCACUUUCCUCCGCUUUCCACUCAGAUGCUGCUCCAGCUCCCCCCUCCACUUCCACCUCCACAAUCAUUUUCUGUCCAUCCUCUCUUCUCUAAAGGAGGUUAAAAGGCAACAACUGAUGGGAUCCCUCUGUGAUGGAGGAGGAGAAGGAUGCAUCAGUCUUCAGGCAGAGCAUGGAGAGCUUGCAAAGAGGGGGAAGAAGCCCCUCUGCUGUUUUUGUUACGCAAAUAUUUGUUUUCUGUACCCAAAUGUGUAACAGAAAAUUAAUCAGUUCACCUUUGUUAAAGUAAUUUUGCAUCCCACAAAUGCAGGAGCCAGAUGGUGUACUUUCUUUGUCUUAAAAGAUUAAAAAAUGGGAAAGAAAGGAAACGGCUAGGAACUAAUCCUCAGUCUGGAACACAGUAAUACAUCCACAUACCCAGUUAUCCAGGCUUGCAGGGCCUGGGCAGGAGCAAACACAGGGACCCAGCAGACUGAAGAGAGUGCAGAGAUCUCCAGCCCUGUCACUUUGUGGCAGCUUGCGGGGGGGAUUUCUCCCUGUGUUUCCAGAAGAUGACAAAUUACAGCUUCUCCCAGGGCUGUAGCUUGGACACACCAGGCAGGAUUUUCUAGAACCAGCUGAAGCAGAACUUUGCUCUGGGUCCCACUGCUGGCAAUGGCAGCUGUCUAAAGGGGAAAGCUGCCAUGCACAAACACUGGGAAACAGACUUGGAAAUGUCAUCAGGCAGAUCAUGGAUGUGACCAGGGGCAGAACUGAAGACUUUGGAAGUUCAACUCUUCAGCCAAAUCUCCAGUUUUCAUAGCUGAGAGCAAGGAGCAGUUUGGUUCUCCCACUUGAGCUUGUUUGCUCAUAUUCUGGGAGGAGUGUGGUUGGACUGUGGCUGGAGGAGGGUUGAAGGACACCUGGAAUUCUGCUCUUUGCUGGCCCCGGGAGGCUUCCCAGCUCUGUCACCAGUUCCUGGUUUGGCCUUGGGAAGGUGAUGUAAACCCUCUGCCCCUCAUGCCACCAGUGUAAAUAAGUGCAACCAGAACCUUAUUUUGCUAGAAACCUGCUUUGGACUUUAACAGAGAUAACAGAGAAUUAACUUCAUGAUCAAAAGUUUUAAACAUACUGAAAGUAAGUGACAACAAAGAAAGAAAAACCAGCCAAGAACAAAAGUCUGUGAUGGUCUGAAACUCAUUUCUUGCUCUGGUAAGUAGGUGAUAAAUCUUUACUACUUUAGUAACAUUUGGUAAUUUGUGUAUGCAGAGAAAAUUUCAAUAAAGAGCCUUAGGACACUGCAUGAGACAGCACGGAGCAGUCCUCAGCAAAGCAUUUUGCACAGACAGGAUGAGGGCUACAGGACACCACCACAGAGAAGACGAAAAAUCCCACGACAAUGAGCUGGCCUGUGGAGAUCAUCUCAGCCCUCCCAGCUGUGGCAACAGCAGCAAUUCUCCCCUUGCACAGAGGGCUCUUGGUGCUGCAAGAGCACAUUUGUGUCCAGCAGUGUGACACUGCCUGUGGUUGGGGCAGGAUUAGCAGGGCUGAAGGGAAGAAGGCAGGCAAGAACUUGAGUAAUCACAUGUUCUGCUUCUCAUCCUCCUCGGGCUCUUCUCUUUCCUACUCAUUCCUUCCUGAAGUUUCAGCAGUUAUGGGACCACAUCAUCUCUCUUUCCUCAUCACUGACCAGUAACUGCACUGAGACCUUUUCCCAGCAUGGGCUUUUCUGCUGCACAGUGAAGAUUGGUUCUCUCACUGGUAAUUAAACCCAGCGGCAAUCCAGUGUUCUGGCCUGGGAGAGGUGAUACAUCUCAGCACAAAUCCAAUCAUGUUUUCCCUCCUCCCCAGCACAGUAACUGCACUUGGCAGCCCUCACAUCAUGAAAAAUUCCUGAAUUUGAUCAAGACAAUAAGCCACUCCUUUCUGGGUAGCUGGGAGAAAACAUCCUCCAUGCCAAACAUACAUAUUGUAAGCAGAAAUAAAUCAGCUCCUCUGCAAGCAUGAGGCUAGAAACCAUGGCUCCCUAGCCUGAGAAGCCCUUCCCUGAUGGUGGAUGGUCCAGAGACAAACUCCUACUCCAGUGUACUCCAAACAGUUCUCACAUCACAUUUCUCCUGCAGCUGGGAAGGGAAAGAUGCUGUUCCCCCAGGGACGCUGCCAUCAGGCAGGCAGGACAGGGCAGACAGGUACAGAGGGAGUGUGCAAGACAAGGGAACAGUGUGAGCACAAAUCACAGGAGAAAAGGCUGGAAGGGCACUCCUGGCUCAUUGAGUCUCUCCCCAGAGAUGAGUACAGGAUUAGCCUCUAUGCUAAACCCAAGCGUUUUUGUCUAGUUAUUUCCUGAACUUCUUUAAUGACAGGCUUUCAGCAGCCUACCCCUGGCAAAUUAUUCCAUUGUUUAAAUUAUGACCCUGCUGGAAAAAAAAAUGUUCUGAGGUCAAACCUAAAUUGACUAUUAUUUUCUCUCCCAUAUUUUAUGCACUUAUCAGUCAGUCUUUCAGUUGCCUUCUGUCUGGGUCCCUGUAUUAAGUUUCUUUAAUCUAACACCAGAGGUCACAGCCUGUGGUAUUUAUCAUC